rnacentral:rRNA from 1 species
AGCGAACGCUGGCGGCAGGCCUAACACAUGCAAGUCGAACGAACUUUUCGGAGUUAGUGGCGGACGGGUGAGUAACACGUGGGAACGUGCCUUUCGGUUCUGACUAACUCAGGGAAACUUGUGCUAAUACCGUAUGUGCCCUUCGGGGGCAAGAUUUAUCGCCUUUAGAGCGGCCCGCGUCUGAUUGGCUAGUUGGUGCGGUAAAGGCUCACCAAGGCGACGAUCAGUAGCUGGUCUGAGAGGAUGAGCAGCGACAUUGGGACUGAGACACGGCCCAAACUCCUACGGGAAGCAGCAGUGGGGAAUCGUGCGCAAGGGGAGAAAGCCUGACGCAGCCAUGCCGCGUGAAUGAUGAAGGUCUUAGGAUUGUAAAAUUCUUUCACCGGGGACGAUAAUGACGGUACCCGGAGAAGAAGCCCCGGCUAACUUCGUG